CAAACGACUCUCGGCAACGGAUAUCUCGGCUCACGCAUCGAUGAAGAACGUAGCAAAAUGCGAUACUUGGUGUGAAUUGCAGAAUCCCGUGAACCAUCGAGUUUUUGAACGCAAGUUGCGCCCGAAGCCAUUUGGUUGAGGGCACGUCUGCCUGGGCGUCACACA
rnacentral:rRNA from 25 species